rnacentral:rRNA from 1 species
UACGUAGGGGGCAAGCGUUGUCCGGAAUCAUUGGGCGUAAAGGGCUCGUAGGCGGCCAACUAAGUCAGACGUGAAAUCCCUCGGCUUAACCGAGGAACUGCGUCUGAUACUGGAUGGCCGGAAUCCGGGAGAGGGAUGCGGAAUUCCAGGUGUAGCGGUGAAAUGCGUAGAUAUCUGGAGGAACACCGGUGGCGAAGGCGGCAUCCUGGACCGGCAUUGACGCUGAGGAGCGAAAGCCAGGGGAGCAAACGGG